AUCCCAAUGAGGAAGAAUACCCAGAAAGAUAGGAAGUGCCGUAUGACACUCCAAAACGGCAAGCGGGGCUCACUCGCCGUCGCUCACCCGUUUCCCAUCCACCGAUCGCGUCUGUGUCCUUCGUCGGAGCCUCUCGAGAUCGGUCGGGACCGUGGUGGUCGACGGCGGUCAGGUGGGUCCCCUAGCCGUGGGUGAUUUGAAACGGGUCUCUGAGGGUU